rnacentral:snRNA from 1 species
GGAUGUAAGGAUAAUCUGACAGCAACAUCUGCUAUCCCAUUGAUUGUCAGGAUGAAUUCAGCUGAUCUGGCUAACUAGGUGAGUAUCCCCUACUUUCCUUGCCACUCCUUGUGUAUCCCACCCAAAGAUGAGUGCUUAGAAGAAGAGAGUAACCAUCCCAUGCAGAAGAAUAAUAAUACUAAUUUUCAGUCAAGGAUAUAAGAUACAUUCCUCUGGGAGAUUCCCCAAACCAGCUCAAGGUCUAUUACAGGAUAUUCUCUUUCUGUU